rnacentral:rRNA from 1 species
AUUGAACGCUGGCGGCAGGCCUAACACAUGCAAGUCGAACGGUAACAGAACGCUGCUUUCUGCUUUUCUGAUGAGUGGCGGACGGGUGAGUAAUGUCUGGGCAACUGCCUGAUGGAGGGGGAUAACUACUGGACACGGUAGCUAAUACCGCAUAACGUCGCAAGACCAAAGAGGGGGACCUUCGGGCCUCUUGCCAUCGGAUGUGCCCGGAUGGGAUUAGCUAGUAGGUGGGGUAAAGGCUCACCUAGGCGACCAUGCGUAGCUCGUCUGAGAGGAGGAGAAGCCACACUGGAACUGAGACACGGUCCAGACUCCUACGGGAGGCAGCAGUGGGGAAUGUGGCACAAUGGGGGCAAGCAUGAUGCAGCCAGGCCGCGUGUAUGAAGAAGGCGUUCGGGUUGUAAAGUACUUUCAGCGGGGAGGAAGGGAGUAAAGUUAAUACCUUUGCUCAUUGACGUUACCCGCAGAAGAAGCACCGGCUAACUACGUG